AAGGUGAACGGCCAGUGACUAAAGCCCAAUGUGGAGGGGAUCAGUGAUGGGGAACAAAUUAAAUCGUGGAUCUGGUAGAUUCAGUCUAUGAAUCAUCUUGAAAAUCAACAUAGUCUGACAGAAAACUUUAAACUUAGGGCUUAUUGGGAGGCAACCUAGUGUUUGCAUGUCUUUUCGAUUACCCAAUUCUUUUUACUUUAUUGAAGCUUAAUAAGGAUGACUAGACA
rnacentral:lncRNA from 1 species